rnacentral:rRNA from 1 species
UUCUGAGAGGAAGGUCCCCCCACAUUGGAACUGAGACACGGUCCAAACUCCUACGGGAGGCAGCAGUGAGGAAUAUUGGUCAAUGGGCGAGAGCCUGAACCAGCCAAGUAGCGUGAAGGAUGACUGCCCUAUGGGUUGUAAACUUCUUUUAUAAAGGAAUAAAGUCGGGUAUGCAUACCCGUUUGCAUGUACUUUAUGAAUAAGGAUCGGCUAACUCCGUGCCAGCAGCCGCGGUAAUACGGAGGAUCCGAGCGUUAUCCGGAUUUAUUGGGUUUAAAGGGAGCGUAGAUGGAUGUUUAAGUCAGUUGUGAAAGUUUGCGGCUCAACCGUAAAAUUGCAGUUGAUACUGGAUAUCUUGAGUGCAGUUGAGGCAGGCGGAAUUCGUGGUGUAGCGGUGAAAUGCUUAGAUAUCACGAAGAACUCCGAUUGCGAAGGCAGCCUGCUAAGCUGCAACUGACAUUGAGGCUCGAAAGUGUGGGUAUCAAACAGGAUUAGAUACCCUGGUAGUCCACACGGUAAACGAUGAAUACUCGCUGUUUGCGAUAUACGGCAAGCGGCCAAGCGAAAGCGUUAAGUAUUCCACCUGGGGAG